rnacentral:rRNA from 1 species
UACGGAGGAUCCGAGCGUUAUCCGGAUUUAUUGGGUUUAAAGGGUGCGCAGGCGGGAGAUUAAGUCGGCGGUGAAAUUUUGCAGCUCAACUGUAAAAGUGCCUUCGAAACUGGUUUCCUUGAGUGUAGAUGAAGUAGGCGGAAUUUGUGGUGUAGCGGUGAAAUGCAUAGAUAUCACGAGGAACUCCGAUUGCGCAGGCAGCUUACUAAACCAUAACUGACGCUCAACUGCGAAGGUGUGGGUAUCAAACAGGAUUAGAUACCCUGGUA